rnacentral:rRNA from 1 species
GACGAACGCUGGCGGCGUGCUUAACACAUGCGAGUCGAACGAAGCUUGAUUACGGAUUCUUCGGAUGAAGUAUGAUAUGACUGAGUGGCGGACGGGUGAGUAACGCGUGAGUAACCUACCCUUCAGAGGGGGAUAGCGUUUGGAAACGAACGGUAAUACCGCAUAAUGUAUUUUGACCGCAUGAUCGAAAUACCAAAGAUUUAUCGCUGAAGGAUGGACUCGCGUCUGAUUAGGUAGUUGGUGGGGUAACGGCCUACCAAGCCGACGAUCAGUAGCCGGACUGAGAGGUUGAUCGGCCACAUUGGGACUGAGACACGGCCCAGACUCCUACGGGAGGCAGCAGUGGGGAAUAUUGCACAAUGGGCGCAAGCCUGAUGCAGCAACGCCGCGUGAAGGAAGACGGUUUUCGGAUUGUAAACUUCUGUUCUUAGGGAAGAAUAAUGACGGUAGCUAAGGAGCAAGCCACGGCUAACUACGUG